rnacentral:rRNA from 1 species
CACGUAGUUAGCCGUCCCUUUCUGGGUAGUUACCGUCACUUGAUGAGCUUUCCACUCUCACCAACGUUCUUCUCUACCAACAGAGUUUUACGAUCCGAAAACCUUCUUCACUCACGCGGCGUUGCUCGGUCAGACUUUCGUCCAUUGCCGAAGAUUCCCUACUGCUGCCUCCCGUAGGAGUUUGGGCCGUGUCUCAGUCCCAAUGUGGCCGAUCACCCUCUCAGGUCGGCUAUGUAUCAUCGCCUUGGUGAGCCUUUACCUCACCAACUAGCUAAUACAACGCGGGAUCAUCUUUGAGUGAUGCAAUUGCAUCUUUCAAACUUAAAACUUGUGUUUAAAGUUUUAUGCGGUAUUAGCAUUCGUUUCCAAAUGUUGUCCCCCGCUCAAAGGCAGAUUCCCCACGCGUUACUCACCCGUUCGCUGCUCAUCCAGUCGGUACAAGUACCAACUUCAGCGCUCAACUUGCAUGUAUUAGGCACGCCGCCAGCGUUCGUCCUGAGCCAGGAUA